rnacentral:rRNA from 1 species
ACUUUCAGUAGGGAGGAAGGUAGUGUAGUUAACACCUGCAUUAUUUGACGUUACCUACAGAAGAAGCACCGGCUAACUCCGUGCCAGCAGCCGCGGUAAUACGGAGGGUGCGAGCGUUAAUCGGAAUUACUGGGCGUAAAGCGCAUGCAGGCGGCCUGUUAAGUCAGAUGUGAAAGACCCGGGGCGUUAACCUCGGAAUUGCAUUUGAAACUAGGCAGGCUAGAGUCUUGUAGAGGGGGGUAGGAAGUUUCAGGUGUAGCGGUGAAAUAGCGUAGAGAUCUGAAGGAAUACCAGUGGCGAAGGCGGCCCCCUCGGACAAAGACUGACGCUCAGAUGCGAAAGCCGUGGGGACGCAAACAGGAUUAGAUACCCCUGGUAG